AUGAACGCUAGCUACAGGCUUAACACAUGCAAGUCGAGGGGCAGCAUGAUUGAAGCUUGCUUCAAUCGAUGGCGACCGGCGCACGGGUGAGUAACACGUAUCCAACCUGCCGAUAACUCGGGGAUAGCCUUUCGAAAGAAAGAUUAAUACCCGAUAGUAUAGUUUUUCCGCAUGGUUUCACUAUUAAAGAAUUUCGGUUAUCGAUGGGGAUGCGUUCCAUUAGAUAGUUGGCGGGGUAACGGCCCACCAAGUCAACGAUGGAUAGGGGUUCUGAGAGGAAGGUCCCCCACAUUGGAACUGAGACACGGUCCAAACUCCUACGGGAGGCAGCAGUGAGGAAUAUUGGUCAAUGGACGAGAGUCUGAACCAGCCAAGUAGCGUGAAGGAUGACUGCCCUAUGGGUUGUAAACUUCUUUUAUACGGGAAUAAAGUGGAGUAUGCAUACUCCUUUGUAUGUACCGUAUGAAUAAGGAUCGGCUAACUCCGUGCCAGCAGCCGCGGUAAUACGGAGGAUCCGAGCGUUAUCCGGAUUUAUUGGGUUUAAAGGGAGCGUAGGCGGGUGCUUAAGUCAGUUGUGAAAGUUUGCGGCUCAACCGUAAAAUUGCAGUUGAUACUGGGUACCUUGAGUGCAGCAUAGGUAGGCGGAAUUCGUGGUGUAGCGGUGAAAUGCUUAGAUAUCACGAAGAACUCCGAUUGCGAAGGCAGCUUACUGGACUGUAACUGACGCUGAUGCUCGAAAGUGUGGGUAUCAAACAGGAUUAGAUACCCUGGUAGUCCACACAGUAAACGAUGAAUACUCGCUGUUUGCGAUAUACAGUAAGCGGCCAAGCGAAAGCAUUAAGUAUUCCACCUGGGGAGUACGCCGGCAACGGUGAAACUCAAAGGAAUUGACGGGGGCCCGCACAAGCGGAGGAACAUGUGGUUUAAUUCGAUGAUACGCGAGGAACCUUACCCGGGCUUGAACUGCAGUGGAAUUAUCCGGAAACGGAUAAGCGAGCAAUCGCCGCUGUGGAGGUGCUGCAUGGUUGUCGUCAGCUCGUGCCGUGAGGUGUCGGCUUAAGUGCCAUAACGAGCGCAACCCUUAUCUAUAGUUACUAUCAGGUCAUGCUGAGGACUCUAUGGAGACUGCCGUCGUAAGAUGUGAGGAAGGUGGGGAUGACGUCAAAUCAGCACGGCCCUUACGUCCGGGGCUACACACGUGUUACAAUGGGGGGUACAGAAGGCAGCUACCUGGCGACUGGAUGCUAAUCCCUAAAACCUCUCUCAGUUCGGAUUGGAGUCUGCAACCCGACUCCAUGAAGCUGGAUUCGCUAGUAAUCGCGCAUCAGCCACGGCGCGGUGAAUACGUUCCCGGGCCUUGUACACACCGCCCGUCAAGCCAUGAAAGCCGGGGGUACCUGAAGUACGUAACCGCAAGGAGCGUCCUAGGGUAAAACUGGUGAUUGGGGCU
rnacentral:rRNA from 1 species